AUACGUAGGGGGCGAGCGUUGUCCGGAAUGAUUGGGCGUAAAGGGCGCGUAGGCGGCCUGUUAAGUCUGGAGUGAAAGUCCUGUUUUCAAGAUGGGAAUUGCUUUGGAUACUGAUGGGCUUGAGUGCAGGAGAGGUUAUCGGAAUUCCCAGUGUAGCGGUGAAAUGCGUAGAGAUUGGGAGGAACACCAGUGGCGAAGGCGACUUACUGGACUGUAACUGACGCUGAGGCGCGAAAGUGUGGGGAGCAAACAGGAUUAGAUACCCUGGUAGUCCACACUGUAAACGAUGAAUGCUAGGUGUAGGGGGUAUCGACCCCUUCUGUGCCGCAGUCAACACAAUAAGCAUUCCGCCUGGGGAGUACGGCCGCAAGGUUGAAACUCAAAUGAAUCGACGGGG
rnacentral:rRNA from 1 species